rnacentral:rRNA from 1 species
UACAGAGGGUGCGAGCGUUAAUCGGAAUCACUGGGCUUAAAGCGUUCGUAGGCGGGUCUGUAGGCGCGUUGUGAAAGCCCUCGGCUCAACCGGGGAACUGCUUCGCGAACCACAGAUCUUGAGUCAAGUAGGGGCGAUCGGAACGAUAGGUGGAGCGGUGAAAUGCGUAGAUAUCUAUCGGAACGCCGAAGGUGAAGACAGGUCGCUGGGCUUGUACUGACGUGAGGAACGAAAGCGUGGGGAGCAAACGGG